AGUGAACGCUGGCGGUAGGCCUAACACAUGCAAGUCGAACGGCAGCACAGUAAGGGCUUGCUCUUACGGGUGGCGAGUGGCGGACGGGUGAGAAAUACAUCGGAAUCUACUUUUUCGUGGGGGAUAACGUAGGGAAACUUACGCUAAUACCGCAUACGACCUACGGGUGAAAGCAGGGGAUCUUCGGACCUUGCGCGAUUGAAUGAGCCGAUGUCGGAUUAGCUAGUUGGCGGGGUAAAGGCCCACCAAGGCGACGAUCCGUAGCUGGUCUGAGAGGAUGAUCAGCCACACUGGAACUGAGACACGGUCCAGACUCCUACGGGAGGCAGCAGUGGGGAAUAUUGGACAAUGGGCGCAAGCCUGAUCCAGCCAUACCGCGUGGGUGAAGAAGGCCUUCGGGUUGUAAAGCCCUUUUGUUGGGAAAGAAAAGCAGCAGGUUAAUACCCCGCUGUUCUGACGGUACCCAAAGAAUAAGCACCGGCUAACUUCGUG
rnacentral:rRNA from 1 species